rnacentral:rRNA from 1 species
GUGUCAGCCGCCGCGGUAAUACGUAGGGUGCGAGCGUUGUCCGGAAUUACUGGGCGUAAAGAGCUCGUAGGUGGUUUGUCGCGUUGUUCGUGAAAACCGGAGGCUCAACCUCUGGCGUGCGGGCGAUACGGGCAGACUUGAGUACUGCAGGGGAGACUGGAAUUCCUGGUGUAGCGGUGGAAUGCGCAGAUAUCAGGAGGAACACCGGUGGCGAAGGCGGGUCUCUGGGCAGUAACUGACGCUGAGGAGCGAAAGCGUGGGGAGCGAACAGGAUUAGAUACCCGAGUAGUCC